UCCGGUUUGGCACCGGCAGUCUCUCCAGAGUCCCCGCCAUGACGCGCUGGCAACUGGAGACGGGGGUUGCGCUCGUUGCGGGACUUAACCCAACAUCUCACGACACGAGCUGACGACAGCCAUGCAGCACCUGUGCUGGUGUCCCGAAGGAGGCCCCCUGUUUCCACGGGGUUUCACCAGCAUGUCAAGCCUAGGUAAGGUUCUUCGCGUUGCGUCGAAUUAAACCACAUGCUCCACCGCUUGUGCGGGCCCCCGUCAAUUCCUUUGAGUUUCAGCCUUGCGGCCGUACUCCCCAGGCGGGGCACUUAAUGCGUUAGCGCCGGCACUCGAGGGGUCGCUCCCCCAAGCACCUAGUGCCCAUCGUUUACGGCGUGGACUAC
rnacentral:misc_RNA from 1 species